AUUGAACGCUGGCGGCAUGCCUUACACAUGCAAGUCGAACGGUAACAGGUUAAGCUGACGAGUGGCGAACGGGUGAGUAAUGUACCGGAACGUGCCCAGUCGUGGGGGAUAACUGCUCGAAAGAGCAGCCAAUACCGCAUACGACCUGAGGGUGAAAGCGGGGGAUCGCAAGACCUCGCGCGAUUGGAGCGGCCGAUAUCCGAUUAGGUAGUUGGUGAGGUAAAGGCUCACCAAGCCGACGAUCUGUAGCUGGUCUGAGAGGACGACCAGCCACACUGGGACUGAGACACGGCCCAGACUCCUACGGGAGGCAGCAGUGGGGAAUUUUGGACAAAGGGCGCAAGCCUGAUCCAGCCAUGCCGCGUGCGGGAAGAAGGCCUUCGGGUUGUAAACCGCUUUUGUCAGGGAAGAAAAGGUUCUGGCUAAUACCUGGGACUCAUGACGGUACCUGAAGAAUAAGCACCGGCUAACUACGUG
rnacentral:rRNA from 1 species